ensembl:lncRNA
CAGUCUCCAAAUAUUACAAGAUCCUCAUUUGAAUGUUGUGUAACAUGAAUAAUUAAUUUAGGAUGUUUAUUGGGACAAUAAUAGCAGCAGGUGUUGCGCUUGUCUCCUGCUAUUCUCGGUUUCUUCUUUGUCAGAGUGACUCGUACUUGUAUAUUCUUAUAUUUGUUGGGGGAAACCACGCGCUUAAGCAUUUCCACCACACUGUGCAGAGAUUACUUCAGUGUAGACAUCCUCAAUACAUUGGUGUUUGUCUGUGAUUGAGCUGUUGUCAUGGCUACCUGGAUGUUCAAUAGAUACCGGGCUGGACCGGAGAGACUCUCCCCACUUCUCACACAGUUAUAAUUAAACACAAUUUAGAGCAAACCGCAGUGUUAAUCUCUUGUAGUGGGGCUGAGGUGCUGGUGGAUAGAGCAGAAUGUGCCUGCCAGCUCAACAGGAUCGGUCAAGGGAACAUAGCGCUGGCAUGCUAACAUGGGAAAAGUGACAGUAGUUUGUCCAAUCCAUAAAUUGAUGUUCAAAAUUUCCAGCUGCUAAAGACAGACUAGAGAGAAAUAUUGAUAACAGAUUAAACGAGUGCAACUAUCUUUGUUUGGUGUACCAAUGAAUAAGUCAGCAUUAUCUAUCCCAAUGCCCUUUCAGGUCAAAACUUCAGUUUAGACAAGCGAGCGAAAUCAAUGAUUCGAUCCUGCGUCAAUGUUCGAAAUAUUUAAAGGAGGGUGUCAAACGUACAGCCGAGGGGCCAGAAUUGGUCCACUAGUGGGUUAAGCCCAGCCCGUUGAAAGGCUGUGCAGGGGAAACAUCAGCACUCGCCUUCUUUUUAAUGACCUCUAGGGAGCGACUCUUCUUGUGUCAUCACCUCCGUUCAUAUAUGACCUGAGGAAACACUGUUCUGAUGGGUUUAUGGUCUCAGUUGCUAGAUUCAGCUUCAAUUGAUCACAGCAUAUUGUUCAUUUAAAAAUUGUUUUGCUCAUUGUCUUUGGUUUUUUUUUUUUAAAAAGAAAAUAAUUUUUUUUAACAAUUUUUUUGAUGCUACAUUAAACAUUUAUUUCCAAUCUUUGGCUGCAAGUUUUCGAGAAUGGAUCAUACCACGAGUGCACAAACUGACAUUAUGGCCUGGCGUGGUGGGGAGCUGUGCUGGAUGAGCUUCUCCACGUUGACAGUAGACUGACUGAAAAUUAGGGUAUUUCUGUUGAAACAUUUUAUGCCACUCAACACCUACUUUGGAAAUUAACGGUUGAUUAAAUUUGCUUUAUGUCAGAAGGUAAUUGUACCUCCUUCCACUGAAGUAUGGGGAGAAAAACUGGGGUCUUUAUGAUUCUUAGUUUGGCCCCAGAUGUGAUCAAAUGUAGCUGUAUGUGGCUUAAGAACUAAUGUGAGUUUGGUAUUCAUGGAUUUUGACUGGGGUUGAGAAUCCUUCCUCCUGACAUUGAUCCCUGAUUGAUCUUUAUUCAAACUGAUUAUCCUCUGCCUUCUAAAUUGACUUAUUGACUUACCAGAUUAUUUUCACACAAAGCCUUAAGAGGUCUUGCCAGAAGUUAUUUAAGAACCUUUAUUGCCCGAUGUCUCAUUCCAGUCCACGAAAUCAUUGGGUGCAUCGAUCCUUUGCUCCAAAGUCCCCAUUCAUGCACAAAUUCAAUAGAGACACACAGUUUCUAAAUAUUGGUGGCGUAAAUGAAAGCUGCUGACUCUGUCUCUUGCUCAUUCUGUGUUUUAGCCUUUAGUCCUUUAGUCAGCUUUAAUGUGUUUCGUUUUCUUGUAAAGCACCUUCUAGAUGUUUGAAUUAAAAUUAGUAAUAACAAUAAAUGAUCAGUGGCAGAGUUUCAGUAUUGCUAGACAGAAGAAAGAUGUUGAAUUGAAAAUGUAAUGAAUGAGACAGAAAUCCUUUUCCAAUCAUGUGGCUCAGACGACAGACAUUUCAGAACAGAAAUUGCUUGUUCAAAUAAUCCUCAAUAAAAAAAUAAAAAAAUAAAAAACUGAGAAAUGAUGACAACAUCUUCAUUUGUUAAAUGCUAUAACAUGUGCCCCUUCCCCUGAAUAGCUGGGGAUAAAUCUCAUAUGAGGAGAGCAGACGAGACAGGAACACAUAAUCCUCAAUAAAGUCACAAGACCUGUAUGACUUUAUUAGAAUCCUGAGGUGCAAUUGACAGAAAUCAACAGCACACACAUGCAGACAGGGCUGGAGAAUGUGUGCUAUCAAGCUACUUCCACUUUAUUGUCUAUCUACAUUGACAGCUGCUGACAGAAAAAAAUGGGGUGACCUAUCCUUAAACCCUCACCAACUCACAAAAUAGAGCCACAAUGCCACCUUUGAAGGAAUCCUGUUGUUCAGCAUCAAUCCUUUCCCCACUCCCAAGGUUAUUAAAGGAGAUAUUCAGGCAUGACACUGGCUGGGUGGGUAUUAAUAAAAUGAAAGGCUAAG